AUUGAACGCUGGCGGCAUGCCUUACACAUGCAAGUCGAACGGUAACAGGUCUUCGGAUGCUGACGAGUGGCGAACGGGUGAGUAAUACAUCGGAACGUGCCCGAUCGUGGGGGAUAACGGAGCGAAAGCUUUGCUAAUACCGCAUACGAUCUACGGAUGAAAGCAGGGGACCGCAAGGCCUUGCGCGGACGGAGCGGCCGAUGGCAGAUUAGGUAGUUGGUGGGAUAAAAGCUUACCAAGCCGACGAUCUGUAGCUGGUCUGAGAGGACGACCAGCCACACUGGGACUGAGACACGGCCCAGACUCCUGCGGGAGGCAGCAGUGGGGAAUUUUGGACAAUGGGCGAAAGCCUGAUCCAGCCAUGCCGCGUGCAGGAUGAAGGCCUUCGGGUUGUAAACUGCUUUUGUACGGAACGAAAAGACUCUUUCUAAUAAAGAGGGUCCAUGACGGUACCGGAAGAAUAAGCACCGGCUAACUACGUG
rnacentral:rRNA from 1 species